UGGGGAAUAUUGCACAAUGGAGGGAACUCUGAUGCAGCGACGCCGCGUGAGUGAUGAAGGAAUUCGUUUCGUAAAACUCUGUUCUAUGGGAAGAAAAGGACUGUACCAUAGGAGAAAGCUCCGGCUAAAUACGUGCCAGCAGCCGCGGUAAUACGUAUGGAGCGAGCGUUGUCCGGAAUUAUUGGGCGUAAAGGGUGCGCAGGCGGCUUUACAAGUUGGAUGUGAAAUAUUGUGGCUCAACCACAAACGUGCAUCCAAAACUGCAAAGCUUGAGUUAAGGAGAGGUAAGUGGAAUUCCUGGUGUAGCGGUGGAAUGCGUAGAUAUCAGGAGGAAUACCGGUGGUGAAGGAGAAUUACUGGACUUAAACAGACAAACAGGCACGAAAGCGUGGGGAGCGAACAGG
rnacentral:rRNA from 1 species